UACCAGCACCCCCGAGUGGUCGGGACGUUUAUUGGGCCUAAAGCAUCCGUAGCCGGUUCUACAAGUCUUCCGUUAAAUCCACCUGCUUAACAGAUGGGCUGCGGAAGAUACUAUAGAGCUAGGAGGCGGGAGAGGCAAGCGGUACUCGAUGGGUAGGGGUAAAAUCCGUUGAUCCAUUGAAGACCACCAGUGGCGAAGGCGGCUUGCCAGAACGCGCUCGACGGUGAGGGAUGAAAGCUGGGGGAGCAAACCGGG
rnacentral:rRNA from 1 species